rnacentral:lncRNA from 1 species
GGAGGGUCUGACGCAGGGACGGCUGAGGGAGGAGCUGCCUGCCCUCAGGUUGCUGCUGCCUGCUUCCAGGCCUUUUCAUCAUCACUCUGGGGAACCUGCCUCCUGGACACGCUCCCCCAGCGCCAGGCAGAGCUGCCCGCCUGGCGCUCAAGUCCUGUGACGCACCCCACCCCACCCCACCUCCCCGAGNNNNNNNNNNNNNNNNNNCCCGUGAGCUUCCUAAGGCGCCGUGGCCGUUCCCAGUGGCCGAGGUCUAUGGUGGGUAUGUUUCUACAUUGCUCUUGGAGGAAAGUGGGGUUUGUGUUAAUGGGAAUCCAGCCCCGUGGGGGAAGCAGGAAGCAGAAGGCGCUGAGACCCAUCCUGUCUGAGAGCCGGGGGUCCUGGUGGGUCCCGGGGUCUGGGCCUGCCACCUGACCUCACGUGAGUAAACAGAGGGUGACGGCCUCCUGUAGGAAGAGAACCAGCUACGCAGACACAGAAAACCUCGACACCAUCAGGUCACAAUGUCAAAGCUUCUAAAAAGCCUUCGAAUAGCACAAAUAAGCACAGCAUUCCACCACUUUGUCCGACCACACCCCUACCCUUUCUGGUGUGUCCUUGACAAGUCCUUGACCCAGGAAAACAUUCUUUCUCCUGAAUCUCUUGAUACUGAGGUUUGGGCGGGCCCCCUUCACCCCCAUGGGAGGGCCUGCCUUCCUGCCAUUCCAGCCCAGCACUGGAGGUCAAGGUCCUCACGAGACAUGACCCAGAUCCCCUGGCCAAGCCUGUGGCCAGGGGGUCCUCCUGGUGGUCACUGUGAACCCUGUGGGUAUUUUCUGCCAAACCAUGGCCAUGGGGAGGGUCAUGGAAUGCAAGCUAGGUGGAGACACAGCCGGCCUAGUCACUUAAUGGUUAGAAAAGUCCUGGUUCUGCAAAUUUUUCCAAAUGGCAUGACCACGGGAACAUGCCAGCGGGGCCCAAGGCCCAGCCCUGCCGGCCUGGCAGUCAGCCCGCCUGCCCGCCUGCUGGCCCUGGGGAGUCUGCCCCGCAGGAGCCCUGGGUGGGUGGUGGCUGCCCCCAGAGCCCCCUGAGCACAGCUGGGGGACGCCUCCCGGUUCUCCCCUGGGGUGGCACCUUGGGGAGCCGAGUCCCCUGGAGAAAUGGGUGGGAAUCGUCAGCAUGCAGGUUCCCCGGCCCCAGCAGCUGGUGGCUGGCCUGGGAGUGAGCCCUGAGCAAGCCCUAGGGUUUCUCGUGAUGACCCGCUAGUGUGCCCUCUGCCUCCAUCAAAAGCGAGCUGGCAGUGCUGGGGGAGCUGUGGUCAUGUCCUGCCUGUACUUGCUGAGCCAUCUGCCCAGGCUUCAGGGUCCAGAGGGAACCUGGGGGCUUCCCUGUCGGUCCUGACAAGUGUGGAG